rnacentral:misc_RNA from 1 species
UCCGGUUUGACACCGGCAGUCUCCCUAGAGUGCCCGGCAUAACCCGCUGGUAACUAGGGACGAGGGUUGCGCUCGUUGCGGGCACCGGCUUUCGCCGGCUGUAAGCCACAUGUCAAGCCCUGGUAAGGUUUUUCGCGUCGCGUCGAAUUAAACCACACGCUCCGCUGCUUGUGCGGGCCCCCGUCAAUUCCUUUGAGUUUUAGCCUUGCGGCCGUACUCCCCAGGCGGGCCACUUACUGCGUUGGCGGCGGCACGGAAGGGGUCGAUACCCCCCGCACCUAGUGGCCACCGUUUAGGGCGUGGACUAC